rnacentral:rRNA from 1 species
AACGAACGCUGGCGGCAUGCCUAACACAUGCAAGUCGAACGAGACCUUCGGGUCUAGUGGCGCACGGGUGCGUAACGCGUGGGAACCUGCCCUUAGGUUCGGAAUAACUCCCCGAAAGGGGUGCUAAUACCGGAUAAUGUCUUCGGACCAAAGAUUUAUCGCCUUUGGAUGGGCCCGCGUUGGAUUCGCUAGUUGGUAGGGUAAAAGCCUACCAAGGGGACGAUCCAUAGCUGGUCUGAGAGGAUGAUCAGCCACACUGGGACUGAGACACGGCCCAGACUCCUACGGGAGGCAGCAGUGGGGAAUAUUGGACAAUGGGCGAAAGCCUGAUCCAGCAAGGCCGCGUGAGUGAUGAAGGCCUUAGGGUUGUAAAGCUCUUUUACCCGGGAUGAUAAUGACAGUACCGGGAGAAUAAGCUCCGGCUAACUCCGUG